AGAGUUUGAUCCUGGCUCAGGAUGAACGCUGGCGGCGUGCUUAACACAUGCAAGUCGAACGGGAAGCGGUGUGUAUUUGCUUAGGUGGAUACAUGCCGUGGAGAGUGGCGAACGGGUGCGUAACACGUAGGUAACCUGCCCUGAAAAGGGGGAUAACCACGGGAAACUGUGGCUAAUACCGCAUAAUCUCGCCGGGACGGGGGUUCGGUGAGGAAAGCUGAGGCGAUUUGGGAGGGGCCUGCGGUCGAUUAGCUGGUUGGUGGGGUAAAGGCCUACCAAGGCGAUGAUCGAUAGCUGUUCUGAGAGGAAGGCCAGCCACACGGGAACUGAGACACGGUUCCGACUCCUACGGGGGGCAGCAGUGAGGAAUAUUGCGCAAUGGGGGAAACCCUGACGCAGCAACGCCGCGUGGAGGACGAAGGUUUUCGGAUUGUAAACUCCUUAACUGGGGGAAGAGGAAGGACGGUACCCCAGGACGAAGACACGGCUAACUACGUGCCAGCAGCCGCGGGUAACACGUAGGUGUCGAGCGUUAUCCGGAAUNACUGGGCGUAAAGGGUGCGCAGGCGGCGGUGCAAGUCUGGGCGUGAAAGCUCCUGGCUAA
rnacentral:rRNA from 1 species